GCCAGUGUGGCAUAGUGGUUUGAGUGUGGAGUACGACUCUGGAGACCAGAGUUCGAAUCCCUGUUCUUCCA